ACAAAUAGAAGGCUCCCCUGGGCCACACCCAACUGCUUAAGAUCUCCACCACAUGUUUAUACUCAAGAUGGAGAAAAUGGAACUUACAGAGAUAAAGUAGCCAUCCUCUUUCCAAGGCAAAACCAUUAACAGAGAAGUCUCUUUGUUUCCACAUCAAGGACUGCCAUAACUCAUUCAAAUUCCACAAUAAAACCUGAUAGGUGAGUUAAUCCUAACUCCUUUGUUAGGCAGCCUAUCAAAGAACUGACUGUGUGACCUUGGGAGGCUCACUAAACCUCUCGGAGCUCCUUCACAGGUCUCAAUCACAAAUGAAGUUUUUACAUUUGAAUGGCUGGUGUUUUAAGAAUUGGCUUAAAAAAGAAUUUACCUCCCUUUCCUACCCAAAUUCCCACUGGGAAGCCCACUGAUUAUCACAACUAGAAUGGAUGAGGAGUGAACUGGCCUUAGAAGUGUGGGCUCCCAGAUUCAUCUCACACACACAUUCAGGCAGAUCCAGAGGCAGACACCCCAACAUCACCCCAGAUCUAAAGCCCUGUAGCUGGCUGGCAGCAUGUUAGAGAGCUCGUCUGGCCCAUGUGAGGCCCUGAGUCCCAUCCCCAGAACAAGCCUGAGGCCACAGAAAAACCAAUGGCAGAGGCUUCCCAACCAAAGCUCCCUACACCACCAGGGAGCUGAGGGACCGAGCCUCAAACUCACUGAGUACCUUCAAUGCCCUCUACCACCAGCACCACAGAUUUGAGCUCCUGGGCUCAAAGACCAAAUCCAGAGGCUCCAGUCUCCCUCGAACCCCAAAGACACUGAACUGAAUAAACAUUAAGGCAACACACCCAGAUAAGCCCCAGCAUUGCUGGGCGGGGUGGCCGACGCCUUUAAUCCCAGUACUCCAGAGGCAGAGUGAGUUCCAAGCCAGUCAAGCUAUAUACAGUGAGACCCUGUCUCAGACACCCACUAGCACCAAAUGAUUCAUACUGACUUUUGGGUUGGGGCAAAGAUUUCUUCCAAACAUUCCUCAGGCUCCACCCCAUUUUCUCCACCCAUGUGUAGGACACUACUCCCAUCUUCCUAAGAACUAAAGAGGGCACUGAAUGCCUCAGGACCCCUACUCCUUCCUUUUCCACAGGACUACAAGCUCCAAGAGAAGAUCUGAAACACACACAACAAAGCAUAUUGCAAAGCCACUCAAGCUUCCUUUCCAGACACUGUUCUUUCUACCUAGUAACAGGGAGUUGGCCAGUCUCUCAUUAGAAAUGCUAUCUCCCACAUCCCUUAUGCACUGAGGUAUUCUGAAAGGAAAACAGGGUGCCAGGACAAGCCACACUGAGCAGAAGUUUGAAACAGAGGCCACAUCGUUAAGACAAUCAGGAUGGGACUGGAGGAUGUGGGAGCAAGAAGAGCCCCGUGAACGAUAGGAAAACAGGAGAGUGCAGAGGUUGAAAGCUCAGCUAUCAAUUAAAAUGACUUAGACAGCCUUCCCCCACCACCUUACAAUUGACAAACUGGACGUGGUAAUAGGCAAGCUGCCCGUGUGCUAUCCAGAGGUGACUUCAUCUUCUACUUGAUCCUUCAUGAUGUCAUUUCACUAGAUGCCAUCAAGCUUGAGAGCAGCUGACAAGAGCGCUUCCCUAGCAAGCACAAUUCGCUGUUCUCGAUGGAAACACACAAGGUGAAGGCAGGAGGAUGGGAGGCUCCAGGUUAUCCUUGGCAAUACAGUAAGCAAGGUUGAUGCCUCCCUGGGCUACAUAAGACCCUGUCUCAAACACAAAAGAAAAAAGUACAUCUAACCAGUAACUAUAAGGCAUUCAUCAUUUGGGAGCCAAAAACUCAACCUUACUAGCACUUAGUAAGUGAAAGAUUUCCUACACUUUGUUUUGAGACACCGUCUCAUUUUAUAGCUCCGGUUGGCUUGGAACUCAGAGAUCUGCCGGUUUCUGACUCGCAGGACUAAGAAUACACUAAGAAGAACCCAGGUCUUUAGUACAUGCUAGGUCAGGACUACUACUGGGCUAUACUCAACACAAUAAAAGCUCUCAACCUAUGUAUGGGUCAAGUCCCCUUUGUAGUUACAUAUCACAUAUUUACAUUAUAACUCAUAACAGUAGCAAAACUACAGUUAUAAAGUAGCAACAAAAUAAUAUUAUGGUUGGAACUGCAUUAACAGGUUGUAGCAUUAGAAAGGUUGAAGGCCUAUGCUUAAAAGGAUCUUUCUGGGUCUUCUUGUCCCUUCUUCACUAAACCCAGCAAACUGACAUAAGCUCCUUUCAUUGGGUCUAAAUACUAACUGCUUGAACCACCACCAAAACUCAAGGGACAUGGCAGGGGUGCAACAGAGGGCAGUCAGAGCAGUGACUACAUCCUGGGUUCAUUGGUUUGAACACACAAUUCACACACUGUAAAACCUGGGAGUAUACAACACACUGUGUUCAAGAAAGCCGGGAAGAGGGCACUGUCGGGUUUUGAAAUCUUGCUGUCCCUGAAGGCCUCCUUCCAGCCCCACCACUCUCCUCCUAAAAUGUUGAAACCUUUUUAGUUUUAACUUUUUCAGAUUGGGAAACCUGACUGAGCAGCACACCCUGCCACGCAUGGCUUCUUAAGAGAUAAGGACAGGAAGCCGAUAAAAUGCAGGUGGUCCCUGGCUCAGGCUCCCACAGAGCAAUCGGUAACUGCUCAGCCUGUUCAGCCAGAGUGACCUAAAAACUCAGGGUCGAUGACACACCCUGAGCUGUAGCUGAGAACCUGGGCAGACCAGGAUCAGUUAGAACAGCUGACUUCCAAAACUACGCACAUGAAAUUGUGAAAGGAUUCAAAGGAAUAAAAAAACAACUCAACAGGCGAUUUGGCUUCCCGGAGUGAGUGGGCUCAGUUAUCCAGGAAAUACCUGGAAUUAGACAUUCAUCACUUAGGCUAACAAAAGUCCUGUCCCCUUAAAUAUGUAAAUAGAAAAUAAACAGAGAAAAAAAAAGCUGCGCCCCACCCCCCACAAGCACCUGAAUUAGCAUGUGAAAUGUACCUGAUCCAGAAAAAGGGAGGCUUAGAGGAGCAAAGACCAACUGUACAGUCUGCCUUCUUUGGGAGCACAGAGGCCAGGGAGCUGAGAGCCACUCCUGCAGCCUGCCCAAGAGCAGCCGACACAUCACUCCAACGUUUAGCCCCAUUUUCCAGGUGAGGAAAUGGAAGGCAGCCUGCCUUAAGUAGUCUCAGAGUUUUGAAGAAGGCCAGACGUGGGGAGGCAAGAGUUUGAGGCUAGCCUGGUCUACAUAAUGAGGUUCAAGUCAGCCACAGCUACUUUAAUAAAAACUAAAGUUACAAGGAGAACAGUGAUGUUAGGCAUGAGCUGUGUAUGACCUUCCCUCUCCACCUCCCAGGUCCAAGCCGUUUGCACUGCCUCCCCAAGCCCCUUCCAACAAUCACCAAAAGAAUUUAUAGACACCAAGCUCAGAAUCAGGAAGGAAGCCACAAAAGGCCUUUCUUUUGGAAGGAUAUAAAUUACCUAUUAUUUCCUGAAAAAUUUUCAUCUCAUUCUUUAUUACUACUUUGCAAAGGUAAGUCCAACUAUCAUACAUUUACUGAUGGAUUCCUCCGAGUACUGUAAGCCUUGCCUGGAUUUCCCUGGUUUUCGAGGAGCCAUCCUGCAGGCUAACCGACCCCCCCCCCCCAGGCAGUCCCUAGAAAGUCUGAUCUAAGUUAAGACUCCAGUGAGCACUUCACAAUUGGUUAUUACCCAGGGAACCUUCUCUACAGAUUUACAGAUAGGAAGGCGGGCAAGCAUCCCAAGAGCUGAGGGUCAUGAAUUCCAGCAUGACUUGGGCUGUACUAAACACCCUGCCCUAAAAGGAGGGGGUGGGGGCAAGGAUGGGAGAGGAGAGGAAACUUCCUGGUGAAGAUACCAAAGCCCAAGGACAGAAGAUGAUCUGCCCAAUGUCAUAUUAGCCAAGACAACCUAGAAUAACCAAACUCCACACAACCUCACUCCUGAUGAGAUGACAUUCUGAGGUACGUUUGCUACUGACUUGUCUCAGGACAAACUACAUGCAAUCUAAAGGCUCUGAAAAGUAUCUGAAAUCAAGUGGACGAUCAGAACCACCGCAUGGCCAGUCACAAGAUUCUCCCUUUCACACACAUCCCAACUUACAAAACACUCAAGCCAGCUGGGGACGUAUAGCUCAGCUGGUAGAAUGCCUACAACUCAACAGUAAACCCAGGGUUCUGGUGUCAACACCACAUAAACCCGGCAUGGUGACACCUGCCCAUAAUCCCAGCACUCAGGAGGUGGGAACAGGACGGUCAGUUCAAAGCCAUCCUCAGGUUACAGAGCCUGGGAUGCAUGAAAUAAGAAAGAUUAAAAAAAAAAAAAAAAAAAAAAAAAAAAAAAAAAAACUCUUGGGCUGAGGAUGCAACUUAAUGGAGGUAUGAGAAAAAAAAGAGAGAAUGGGGGCGGGAGGGGGAGCCUUGAUGUUUAAUACCACAAAAGUGAAAAGAAAAUAAAGAUUUGUCCUUUAGAACUCAGGAAAUUCAAUACACACACCUUCCCCACUGGCUUCUCACUACCUCUCCAUAUCUGCCUAGGAGGGCCCAGAGUCUGCUCACUAGCUGUCUUCCCAUCGCCAAGUUGCUGUCACUGUUUAAAUACACAGUUAAAUACACAGUUGCAAGCAGACCAAGAGCAUCAGGAUGCCCGAGUGAGGACCGGAUGAUGAGCACCGUGGGCCCUGCAAGUCUGAAGCAGAGCUACCCUUGGGCUUUCUCCUGACCCCUCAGUGCUCAAAUGCACAGGAGGGGCUCUAGAGCAUAUCCCACUCAGCGCAGGACCUCGGCAGCCAGAGCAGAACUCUGCUCUACGCCCUAGAAAUCACAUCUGGAAACAACUAACAACUACCGGCCUCUCCAGGGGAGUUGGGGAUGCCAGACACAGAGAGGCCUGUCUUUCGUACAAAAAGAUGGGCCAGUAAGAUGGCGAGCACACACACAAUCAAUAGUAAUAAAUAUUUCUUUAAAGGUCUUUGUGUACCUUGUUUUUUAAUUCCAGAAAGAUUCCUCUAAAUUCCUAGGCACAGAUAACUGAGGAAGCACUCACCCUGACUCUAUCACAGGGUGAAAAGAAAAGCAAAGACACAGUCCCCUCUCGGGAGGAGAUGUCUUCAGAGGUCUGCUAGGUUCUCAGGCUUCUGAGGAACCCAGCCCUUCAGGCUCUACGGCACAAGUAGAGUCUGACCAAUGUAUGAAGCAGAAAUCAGCCUCUAAGUGGGUCUGUGUGCCCUCAAUUACAAAUCCAAAUGUCAAAAUUCAAAAACAGGUGAGGGACCUGAAGGGUAGGGGUGCACACAGGUGGGGAGGUGAUGGGAAAAGGGUCUCACCGUAACUUCCCAGGCAUGUGUAACUGAGGCAAAAACAUCUGCUCAGCAGCUGGUAACUCAGUGGUCAUGUGCAGGGCCAAACAUCCUAAACCAUGUCAUGUGUGCACAGAGCCCUGCAGCCCCAGCAAGCUCACCAAUGGGGUGAUUCCAACUUGCAUUCAGCUUUGCCGGACACCUAAAUGAUAUUCUAGAGGCAUUCCUUAAUAAUUCCUGGUUAAGAAAAUAAGCUGCUUCCUGUCUCCAAAUCCCUGGCCCUUUCCAGACAUACAUGUCAUUCAUUUCUGCACUUCGUGAUGAAGGUGAAAGAAAAUUAGGGAAGUUUUCAGCAUGACUAACAGAAACCUUUCAACACACUAGAAAUAUCAGCCAUGUUAUCUCAUUAGUACAUAAAGCAAAAGCAGACUCUGAAUUAAGGGAACCCUUAGCUCUACCAGUGUGAAAAUGAACACUGGCAUCCUGUUCUCUGCUGGUCUGCAACGGCAACCAACUCGAGCCAGCAUCCUCAUCCCUUCAGCUGAUGGGAAACUGACUUUAACCACUAUUGUCUUGGAGAGGCUCCGAGGUGAGGAGGCAGCGAGGGGGAAAGGACUGAAAGAAAUCCUUCCAAAGGAAACAGGGCUCACAAUGGUUUGGGAAUCAGGCCCCAGAACACCCCUGCCAGGGUGAUGGGUGAUCUGAAAAACAAGGCAUAUCAAAGUGCUAUUGAUAAGCUGACUCAGUAGACAGCUUAUCUGAGGCCCUCAUGGACCAUAUGGUGCCCCAACUUCUGCUGCCUGUUGCUGCCACAACAAUAGGCUUGUCUGCCCAGAAAGCACCGUGGUGGGACAGAAGCUCAGCAGCAGAGGCAUGCCGCCCGCCCGGCUAUAGUGUUUACAUUUUAUUUUGUGUCGUUAGCUUUGUGUGUCCCCGGCGGGGACUUGAAACACACACCACACACGCUUCGUGUCAGACACCAGGGUUACCUGCAGAAUGCACAUGGACGUGCGACAUGUAUGUGCUUGUGGAUGGGAACAGAUCAGGUGAACAAGAAAAGCAGAUGUCAACUUCAGAAUUAGAACAUGGCUGGUGGGGGAGGGUGAGCGGGCGGGCUCCCAGCUAGCUCAGGAGCAGACAAUGCUCUUUUCUCAAAAAACACUCUGGCCAGGCGGGCCUCGGGGAGUGGCUAUUUAAAACACUUGGCUUCUUUUAUUCCACCGCUGUAGAAGUGAAUUCAGUUCUUCGGAGCCAGAGCAAAUGAAGUCAUUUGGUUUCUGUGGGUUCUCUAUGCACUUCGGCAGUAGGAAACCGGCCAUCCAAGUUGGCCUUUCCUCAUUAACUCCGUUUUCCUUGAAAAAGACAGUAAAGUCAUAGCAAAAUUCUAGGAUAUGGGGCACUGAAAUGGAUGCUGUCAAAGCCAUCAGGAAGUCAUGGUGUGAAGACAAACAGGUAUCGCCUUCCAAAGGCUUGGGUUGGCAUGACAGACCGACCCGGACUUUGGUCAAAUUAUGUAUCUUCUCAGAGGGUUUCCUGUCUUUGCAGAUGAUCAUAAAAUAUUCAUUUAUCUAGUUGACUACCUAUUAGGGGAAAAAAGACACUGGUUCCCAAUAAGAACUCUGCAGCUACAGUGUCAGGUGACAUUAAAGCUGCCCUAAGAUGCAGGAGCUCAAGGUGGUUCAAAGCAAAAAUGCAGGCAGAAGGCUCUCCCUCAAUCCUCACAGCAGAGCUUCGGCAGAAAGAUACUGGUUUCAUCUGUGACACCAGCCCCAUACCUAAGUGGACAACAUUCUUGGAUGAACUUCUCAAAUUUUCUUAAACAGUCUCAGAUUUAAAAUCUCCUUUCAAGUUAAAUUGAGAUUGCACUUGAACUCUAUCCAAGAGCAAAGCUGAACUGAAUUAUGAUAAUUAGAAAGCUGUGUCUAUAAUUUUUUUAAGAAGUCAGUAGAGUUGAUAUAUUUUUUUUAAAAGUUCAUGCCAGAGAAUAUAAGUUCAGUGUGUUCCCACAUAACUAACAUUUCUCACCAUGGUGAGCAGUUUUUCAGUUUACCCAUCAGUACUGCUGGGUAGUCCCAGGUCUCAGUACAGACAAACGUGUCAGAUGCCGAGAAGCUCCCAGAACUUCCCCCUGCAGAGGUGGACCCUCAACUUCUUCAUCAGUAAAUUAGUCCACUUUUAAGUCUUAAGCUCAUUUCCCAACGCUCUAUCUUUCACCAUUAAAAAAAUGUUAAUACGGGGUUGACAUGUGGCUCAGUUGUUACAGGGGUUGUGACAGGCGCUAUCAUGAGACCAGAGUGUGAUCCCAAGGAAGGGUAUAAUAUAAACCCAGCAUGGGUAACAGGUCUGUACUCCAGCACAUGAGCAGCAGAAGAAUGAAGAUCGUGCAUCCAGGAUCAUGCUCAGCUACACAGUAUAAGCUGAAGGUCUCAUACAUGGGACCUGCUUCAAAAAACGAACAAAAAGCUAAUGAAAUCGUAUGACAGAGCCUUACAAACAAGUGUGAGUAAGAAAAGAACAUAGAAAAUACGGGGGGGGGGGGGGACACGACGACACAGUCUUCCCUUGGGCUGCCACAAAACUGAAGACAGCUUCUCUGAAAUACCAUUUCCAUUAUCCAAUCAGAAGACAUGUGUGUGUGUGUGUGUGUGUGUGUGUGUGUGUGUGCGCGCACGCGCGCAUCCAUUAUCCCCCGACCACAGCCUGAGCUAAGACACCCAAUGGUGUAAGCUAACAAAAUGGGAACUUGGGAUCAGGGGAUAGCCCACCCUCUGGGCAACACUGACCUGAAGAUCCCUGCCCUGCAAAACCAAAACUUGCCAUUUGCUUGGACCAAGUGAAAAAAAUGCACAUUUCAAAACUCUCCUACUCUGCACCAAUGCAAAGUUGGAACAUUUCUAAAGAAAUGAUCCCAUUCCAACCUCAAGUUCAAACAUGGACCAGCAUUAAGGAGAACCAUAAAAAAAGAACCUCAAAGGACUGGCAAUACAAUUCACAUCUUUGAAACUGAACAAAAAUUCUCCAAAAAUGGAGACCCACUGCCCUAGAAGCCAGAAGGGUGCAACACCCUGUUCAGAUAUGCACAGUAGCCACACAACAGGAUCUAAAGAAGUGUCUACCAAAAGGCCUAGCCCUGAGCCAGUGCUAAGGACUGACCUGAAUUGCUUUAUCACCUUGAUGAAUAACAAUAUUAACACUACAUGACUUAGGUUCCUACAUAAAAAUAUGAUGAUCUGAAACCUCUACACCUAAUGGAAGAAAAGGCAGCACGUAGCUCCAGAACAUAAUGGCAGCCAUCGCCAGUGCCCCGUCAGUCAAGCACAGCGUAUGAUAGUCGGUGAGCGACUAUACUGUCCUUACAGAAUUCAGAAGUAGGCUAUAAGCACUCUGCGAUUCCAGUUGCAAAACUGUAAUAAAAGAGAAGUCUGCCUUAACUAACAAAAACGAUAAAGGUUUUCUUGCAGUUUGGGGGGAGCAAGCUGAGCACUAGCAUUAGCCAGUAUUUCUUAAGCCAUAAAAAGAAAAAAAAAAAAGACCCUACUCAAAAGUUGUACCACUCCACAGAAUCCUCCCAAGGGCUGUUACUCAGAAACACACACACACAUACUUCUGCUUUCAUACUACCUUCAUGGGGAAACAGAACCAAACACAUAAAAUGGUAGCUUUGAAGCAAGGGCCCUAAUUUCUCUGCACAGAUACGGUUAUUCUUUUUAAGCCCACUGGAUCAUACACAGUUAUCUGCAUGGACCUCGGGAGUGAUUAAGACACCAUCACAAUUUCCAUUUGCAAGCAGUUUAAUUACACUCACAAUUAACCCAUAACACAUGAGAUUAGAGAGGCAAGUAAUCCUACAGAUGUCCAGGCUCUUCUUGUACAACCAAGGACUGGGGACUGAGGAGAUCUAUCUACUUCCAAAGCCCGCAACAACUGCCUGAUGCUGCUAAUGGUCUGUCUCUUGGUUGGGGUCUCCAUUCCCUCCACAGACAGUAUGAUACCAAACACAGUCUAGACACAGAUAGUUCCAUAAAGAUGUAUCUUCUUACAUUUGCUUCUGCCUAUUGGCAGAACCAACUAAAAUCAAGUCUAUGCACUAGUGAACUUAAAAAAAUAAUAAUAAUCUUUUUCUUAGUUUUCUGUCUUCUUCCCAAAUCAGAAGAUGCCAGAAUCCAAAGCAACUAUGUGAACAUAUAAUCCCAGCUGUAUACAGCAAAGAGAGGGAGAGAAAGCAGGAGGGGCAGGAAGCCAGCUCCCCACCAGGUGACCCCUGCAGACCCACCUGCACCAUUUCACAGGGCUGUAAGGGAAGCACACACUGUACGUACCACAGUACAAGCGAGUUACUCAUUCAGUUAGUGCAGUCUGUGUCAGUCUAUGCUACAUUAUCUGCCAGCUUCAAAUUAAAGGUCACUAACUAUAUACAUGUCCUGCUCAGUCCUGGCCUUUGCUUGUACAAAACCUCCAAUAACCCCAAAAUGUUCCCUAGAAUUUAUAAAGAACCCCAGGAAGAAGGAACUCACACAAUGAUUCUUUUUCCCCUUCUUCUCUCCGCCCGCCCUUUUUUUUUUUUUUAAACUCUUUUAUAAAGGCAAAGUGUCUCUCUGGCUUUGUUUCAAACUUGUUUUUAAAAAAUAAAAAGUAUUCUAAUAUUUCCCUAAAUCUUCAAUUUAAACAAUACUUGCCAUUAAACAGAAAAUAAAAUGGCUUACUAAGGACAUGAACAAGACUCAGUAAUGGAGACAGCUUAUCAGCUCAUUUUUUAUACAAACAACAAAUAAAGCAAUUGCAAACUCUGUUGAAAACCUGAAACCUAAGAGUCCGACACAGAGUUACACAUUCAAAGAAAUAGUACACAAAAAUAUCUUAUGACCAUUUAUGGAAAUACUGAGAUUAGAAAAAUACGCCUUUCCUCCUUAAAAUCAUCAAUUUAAAACCUUGCUGUUGACAAAGGUUCAGCUAAACGCAUUUGUCUUUCCGGAGUCGUGCUGUAACUGGGUCUACUGUUUCCUUCUAAAGAGGAAAGAUUCUUACCAAAGUUGGAUCUAAGUCUGGCCCUUAUAAGCAUUCAGAUGCGCUUGGGCCCAAAGAUCCUGCUAUUCACAGAAAAGCGCAGACUCCGCUGAAAGGCGGAAGCCCCUGGCACAGUCUGUACAGCCUGAGGACUAUUCCCAGCCUCAGUCUCAAGGCAGAUUAGCCCCCACCCAAGAGCUCAGGCUUGCACAGACAAGCUACCCCUUGGCUCCGGGUAGAUCGAGUCUCCCUAACGGGAAGGAUCUGUCCACCCGGGGAACCACCUGCAGGCACUCGGCACACUCUAAGCCACCAGACCACCUAAACUAACAACGAAUCCAGGCCACAGGGCGUAAAGGAGACUGCGAUUCUGUUACUUGGCAUUAUCUGUAGGAAUUGAAAUAUUUUCCAUUCACUAUUUUGAAAUAUGAUCGUAUUUACAGACCUUUUUGUUCCAAGGACCUCGGCUCCUUUCAAAUGGCGCUAUUUUAAAACCCCGGCCUUUCUACACUACCGAUUCCUGGAAUAUCUGUCUGUAAGUUUCCAGCGCUGAGAUCAAUUUGCAUUUCUGUAAAUCACAGACAGCUUCUAAGAACUUAACAAGCCUCCUGAGAAACGCUGGUGGCUGGUAUUUCAUUGUUUCAUAAAUAUUUUUAUACGGGUGACACCAUUCAACUUAAAAUAAAUCUUUAAAAAGGAAGACGAUUAAGACCGAGGAAAAUUAGUCUGGCUUUUAUUUUCACGGGAAGAAGAUAAGUGAAGUGUGAGCCCCACUUCUUAAAAUGUAGCUUUGAUUAUUUUAAAAAAUGCAUUAAAAAAGAAAAAGGAAACUCCUAGAAGUUGAACUUUCUUUCAAACGGGCCUCUAGACUUUGAAAACAAGUGGUGCUUUCGCGAACAAAGGCUAAAAGUGUCCCCAGAUUUUUUUUGGGGUCCUCCUGGGGAUCGUAUCUCCUCCAAUAAACAAACAAAUCCCCCAGUAUUUCCUACCGAGGGGAAGUUUUCCAGGGAGAGUCUACUCCCGGGUUUGGUGGUAAGUGCGACUCAGUCUUUUUUGGACACAAUGUUUCUGCUGACUCCUGAAAAUUUUCCACUUGAAUGUGCACUGGAGCGGCGGCGGCGGCGGCGGCAGCUCUGGAGAGGCGGCAAGAGCGAGAGAGCCCUCUUUCAUCUCCCGGGAGGAGGAGCCCGGAUCGGCGCGGACCCCGAAGGGGCCGGGCGCCGGGGGAGUCACCGGGCUGCAGGCUCUAAGCUGCGCGCCGAACGCUCUCCCACCCGCGAUCGCGCCAAACUCGGCGCUUCCCAGGCAAGGAGCGAGAUAGCCUUCCAUUAACACCAGCGAAUAAGACAGAGGGCAGAAAACGCCAGAAGCAGUUAAAAGCACUUGCUGCUCUGCAGAGGACCAGGCUCCUGUCAGGUUCCCCACAUGGUCGCUUUCAACAGUCUGUAACUCCAGUUCCAGGAGCACCAGGCACAAACAUGGUGUACACGUGCAGUUCCUAAUGAAACACCUGCAGUAUGAGCAGUGGGGUAUGUAUUCCCAAAGUCCACAUAAGUGCUAGAAGAGCAUGGUGCCUUGUUUGUAAACCCAGCACUGGGGAGGCAGUACAAUCCUCCCCAGGGCAGGCUGCCUGGCUAGACUAGCUACAGAGCUCGAGCUUAAAGUAAGAGACACUGCCUUGAAGAAUACAGUGUCGAGCAAUCCUAAGCCAGUGCCCAGACUAGCACAGAGAUAAUGGAAUGCCCACAUUUAUCAUAGCACUAUCCAAAGUACCUAAGAAUAGAAUCAACCUCAUCUUCAUCAGUGGGUGAAUGGAUAAAGGAAAUGUGGUAUGUAUACACGGUGAAAUAUUAAGCAGACCCUGUCAUUUGCAGUAAGAUAAUCUUAGCCCUCACGGAGGCAAGUAGAUCUCUGUGAGCUUUGAGGCCAGCUUGAUCUAUAUUGCAAGUUCCAGGCCAACCUGGUCUAUACAAGGAGAAUCUAUUUUUAAACAAAUCAAAUAAGCAACCCCUCCAAAAAAUACAGCCACCAACAACAACAAAGGUGGAUUAGAAUGUAGACUGGCGAUUACUAUAGAAUGGGAAAGGUAGCUGGACCAUGUGUGGUGUCACAUACCUUUAAUCUCAGCACUCAGGAGGCAGAGGCAGGCAGAUAUCUGAGUUUGAGGCCAGCCCUGUCUAUAGAACAAGUUCCAGGACAGUCAGGGCUACACAGAGAAACCCUGUUUCAAACAAAACAAAACAAACAACAACAAAAGAAUGGGAAAGGUACAGGCGGGCUGAUCAAUGUAUACUCAAUCAUGUGCUAAAAUAUCAUAGCAAACCCCACUAGUGAGAAUUUAUACAGAAUAAUAAAAAAAAAAAAAAACAGUGUCAGGGGCUGGAGAGGUGACUCGGUGGUUGAUAGCACUUGCUACUUUUCUAGAAAACUCCAGUUCAGUUCCCAGAAUCCAUGUAGGGGGCUCACAGCCACUUGAGACUCCAGCUCCAGGGGAUCCAAUAUGCUCUUCUGGUCUCCAUGAACAGCUGUGUUCAUGUGCACACACCCAAAAACAGACAUACACAUAAGUAAAAAUAAAAAGUAAUAUAUAUAUAAUUUUAAAAAGUCAGUGUCAAGAGGUCUCAAGCCAGUUAAUUCUCAAAUACCAUAUUUUACUGGGCAAGCAAGUCACAGUGAUGGGCUGGCUGCAACUCAUAAUAGCCUACUGUUCAUUUUAUUAAAACCUGAAUUGGACAAACUGAGGGCUCAAAAUGCAAAGAAAUGGUAAGGAGAUGGAAAUACUCACCCUGAGCUGACCAGGAUUUUGAAAACACAAGCUGCAACAGCACAGGGGAUCUUGCAAAUACAGACAUGUGUUAAUGUAUGCAUUACGUAUUUUCAAAAUGUAUUCAUUAGUUUUUGAGGUAAGUUCUCUUGUCGUUCAUGUCACAUUGCAUGGUUAAAACUAGAUCCUUCUCACCUUCUCUUUGAAUUUCUCCAUUCCCAAUCCACCCUCUAGCCCACCUCAUUCUCUACCUGCAGAGGCUUGUAAAUGGCUGGCAAGGCCUGUUUGGUCAGUUUUUCUUUAAAUAUUUGAAUGCUUACACAAGUCCACACAAGUACCAGCAGUUCAAAAAUCUUCAUUUCAACAUACUUUUUUUUCUGUUUUUCUUUUGUGAAGGUCUUCUUCUACCUCUUUAUUUCAAGAAAAGGAAAUGUUAAAUAUUUUAAAUUUUUAGAUACCUGAGAAAAAUAUACAUAGGAAAUGAAAUACCAUCCAUCACACAUCAUAAACUAUCCACUUAGUAGUUAGGGAAAAAAAUGAGACUGUUCCUACCAUACAGCACGAAGAUUACUGUAACCAGCUCCAGGCUCACCACUCAGAAUUGUACAUUGCUAGUAUCUUGUCAUAUUUGCUUCUAGACAAGUGCUUAUAUUUUCUUUUAUAUAUUUUUUAAAAGAUGUAUUUAUUCAUUUAAAUAUUUUAUUUAUGUGUAUAGAAAUUCUUCAUGCAUACAUGUGUGUGAACCACGUGCAUGCCUGUUGAAGGGCCUGGAACUGGGGCUAUGAAUGGUAGGGAGCCAUGAUGUGGGUGAUGAGAAUUGAACCCAGGUCUUCUGCAAGAGCAACAUGUGCUUUCAACUACUGAGUCAUCUCCGUGUCCCCUUGUGCUUAUAUUGUCUGAGCCCAGUAUAGAACACAAAGGAAAGACCACUUAUUACGUGGCUAACUUUAUAAAGAUCAAUGUUAUCUCCAAUAUUGAUAAAUACAUGGUCACGAUAAAAAUUUCAAAUCAAUUAUUUGUUUGUUUGUUUGUUUGUUUGUUUGAGACAGGGGUUUCUCUGUGUAGGCCUGGCUGUCCUGGAGCUUGCUCUGUAGACUGGGCUGGCCUCAAACUCACAGAGAUCCUCUUGCCUCUGCCUGCCUAAUGCUGAAAUUAAAGACCACAGCCACCCUGCUCAAAUCAAUAUAUACAUUUUUUCGAGACAGGGUUUCUCUGUGUAGCCCUGGCUGUCCUGGAACUCACUCUGUAGACUAGCGAUAUUUUUUUUGAGAUAAGGUCUCAUGCAACUCAGACUUGUCUCAAAUUCAUGUGUUGGCAAAGACGACUUUGAACUUCUUAUCCUCCUGACUGUACCUUCCAAGUGCUAGGAUGACAAACAUGUAUCAGCAUGUCUGAUUUAUAUUGGACUGGGGAUUCAUCUCAGGGUCUUGGGACUGCUAGGCAAGCCUUUCAACAACAAAGCCCCUAAGGGACAUAACUCCUAAGGGAGACUGUUUUAUUUACUAAUUUGCUGUGGGUAAGUAUGCUGUGAACAGGACAUGCAUGUGGUGGUCAGAUGACAACUUUCCAGGAUUGUUCCUCUCUUUCCAUCAUGUGAGUCCCAGGUCAUCAAGCUUGUGUGGCAGGUACCUUUACCCACCGAGUCAUCUUACCAUCCCUAAAGGAAUAAUUUUUUAAGACUAAAUUUAACUCUAAAGGAAUGAUAUUUUUUUUAAAGACAAAAUUUGCUAAAUAUCAACAACAAUGGAUUUGGACUAUUAUGGUUAUAUGGAACUUUUACUAAUGGCUUUAUGAUUGAUGAUUAAUAUGCCAACAUACAUAUAAUUUAUGAAUAACUGUAUUUUUCACAGAAGUUUACUUUCCUUACUUUCAUUUUACUAAAAUUGCUAGUAACGUUGAAGCGUGAUUGCCAUUGUUGUUUGAGACAGAAUGUCAUUCUGUGGUCUCAGCUGGACUGGAUGGAGUUCAUGGCAAUCCUCCUGCCUCAGUGUAAGUACUAGAGUUACAAUU